CCUACGGGUGGCUGCAGUGGGGAAUAUUGCACAAUGGGCGCAAGCCUGAUGCAGCCAUGCCGCGUGUGUGAAGAAGGUCUUCGGGUUGUAAAGCACUUUCAGCGGGGAGGAAGGCGUUAAGGUUAAUAACCUUGGCGAUUGACGUUACCCGCAGAGGAAGCACCGGCUAACUCCGUGCCAGCAGCCGCGGUAAUACGGAGGGUGCAAGCGUUAAUCGGAAUUACUGGGCGUAAAGCGCACGCAGGCGGUCUGUCAAGUCGGAUGUGAAAUCCCCGGGCUCAACCUGGGAACGGCAUUCGAAACUGGCAGGCUAGAGUCUAGUAGAGGAGGGUAGAAUUCCAGGUGUAGCGGUGAAAUGCGUAGAGAUCUGGAGGAAUACCGGUGGCGAAGGCGGCCCCCUGGACAGAGACUGACGCUCAGGUGCGAAAGCGUGGGGAGCAAACAGGAUUAGAUACCCGGGUAGUC
rnacentral:rRNA from 1 species